rnacentral:rRNA from 1 species
UAGGGAAUUUUGCGCAAUGGGCGAAAGCCUGACGCAGCAACGCCGCGUGAGGGAUGAAGGUCCUCGGAUUGUAAACCUCUGCUGAGUGGGAAGAAACUUUGCAGGAGUAAUUCUCUUGCAGACUGACGGUACCGCUCGAGGAAGCCCCGGCUAACUACGUGCCAGCAGCCGCGGUAAUACGUAGGGGGCAAGCGUUGUUCGGAAUUAUUGGGCGUAAAGGGAGCGUAGGCGGAGGUGUAAGUUAGGAGUCUAAUUCACGGGCCUAACUCGUGAUCUGCUCCUAAGACUGCAUCUCCUGAGUAUGGGAGAGGAUGACGGAAUUCCAGGUGUAGCGGUGGAAUGCGUAGAUAUCUGGAAGAACACCAGUAGCGAAGGCGGUCAUCUGGCCCAAUACUGACGCUGAGGCUCGAAAGCUAGGGGAGCAAACAGG